AGACCCGAAACCCGGUGAUCUAGCCAUGGGCAGGUUGAAGGUUGGGUAACACUAACUGGAGGACCGAACCGACUAAUGUUGAAAAAUUAGCGGAUGACCUGUGGCUGGGGGUGAAAGGCCAAUCAAACCGGGAGAUAGCUGGUUCUCCCCGAAAGCUAUUUAGGUAGCGCCUCGUGAAUUCAUCUCCGGGGGUAGAGCACUGUUUCGGCUAGGGGGCCAUCCCGGCUUACCAACCCGAUGCAAACUGCGAAUACCGGAGAAUGUUAUCACGGGAGACACACGGCGGGUGCUAACGUCCGUCGUGAAGAGGGAAACAACCCAGACCGCCAGCUAAGGUCCCAAAGUCAUGGUUAAGUGGGAAACGAUGUGGGAAGGCCCAGACAGCCAGGAUGUUGGCUUAGAAGCAGCCAUCAUUUAAAGAAAGCGUAAUAGCUCACUGGUCGAGUCGGCCUGCGCGGAAGAUGUAACGGGGCUAAACCAUGCACCGAAGCUGCGGCAGCGAACGUAUCACUUAAAGCGAUUCAGCGGGUUACGAUUGACGGAGCGAAGCGACGUCAAAGCGUAUACAAAGUCGAGUCGGUUUAAGGAUACGUUCGUUGGGUAGGGGAGCGUUCUGUAAGCCUGUGAAGGUGGCCUGUGAGGGUUGCUGGAGGUAUCAGAAGUGCGAAUGCUGACA
rnacentral:rRNA from 1 species